UGGCGGUAUAGCUCAGCUGGUUAGAGCAGCGGAAUCAUAAUCCGCAUGUCGUUGGUUCGAGUCCGACUACCGCUAA
rnacentral:tRNA from 1 species